CCUACGGGUGGCAGCAGUGGGGGAUAUUGCACAAUGGGGGGAACCCUGAUGCAGCGACGCCGCGUGAGUGAAGAAGCACCUCGGCGCGUAAAGCCCUGUCAGCAGGGAAGAAAAUGACGGUACCUGAAUAAGAAGCCCCGGCUAACUACGUGCCAGCAGCCGCGGUAAUACGUAGGGGGCAAGCGUUAUCCGGAUUUACUGGGUGUAACGGGGGCGCAGACGGCAGGACAAGCCAGGAGUGAAAUCCCGGGGCCCAACCCCGGGACUGCUGUGGAAACUGGGCGGCUAGAGUGCAGGAGAGGCAGGUGGAAUUCCUGGUGUAGCGGUGAAAUGCGUAGAUAUCAGGAGGAACACCAGUGGCGAAGGCGGCCUGCUGGACUGUAACUGACGUUGAGGCCCGAAAGCGUGGGGAGCAAACAGGAUUAGAUACCCUAGUAGUC
rnacentral:rRNA from 1 species